rnacentral:rRNA from 1 species
UACGUAGGGUGCAAGCGUUAAUCGGAAUUACUGGGCGUAAAGCGUGCGCAGGCGGUUUUGUAAGUUUGUCGUGAAAUCCCCGGGCUCAACCUGGGAAUGGCGAUGAAGACUGCAAGGCUAGAAUCUGGCAGAGGGGGGUAGAAUUCCACGUGUAGCAGUGAAAUGCGUAGGAGAUGUGGAGGAACACCGAUGGCGAAGGGCAGCCCCCCUGGGCAAGAUU